rnacentral:lncRNA from 1 species
UCUUUGUAAAAUAUUCUCCCUUGUAAUAUAUUCUCUCAAACUGGAGUGGUCAGGAAGUGAGUGUAAUCAUUGUACUCAUCCUGCUUCUAUACUAGAGUGUAAUUUAGAAUUCAUCUAUGACGCCAUUAAUCGUCUCCACGAUCAAAUUGUGGACAUCGAUUAUCAGUUGGGCGAUCUUUGUCUUGCUUGUAAUAAUAUUAAAGCAAAGGUUCUCUCCACUCAAGUACGUUCAAAUUUCUUUUAUGUCUUUCAUUCCUGCAAUUUUAAAUAAUUUAUGUUUAGUUGAUUUUUCUAAUUUAAAUCAAGUUAGAUUUCUUAAAGAAAAAAUUAUUGAAUAUGGUAAUGAUAUUUUCAAAGAACAUAUAGAGACACAUAAUCUAUGCCCAAAAUAACAUCAAAAUCUCCGAAAGGCAUCUCAACUAAAUCAGAAGGGAAUACAUGAUCUUGGAUUAUGAGUGGGCAAUCAGGAUAUAAUUUGUUAACAAUAACCUCCUGUCCUAAUGGACUCGAUACAAGCACAUCAUACCCCAAUCGCAAACAAGGAACAGAUGCAUAGCAAGAAAUCCCAGCACUAAUAUAAGAGUGAGAUGAUCCAUGUAACAGACUGAUUUUUCUUUUAGUGUCGGUAAUAGUGAUUUACCGGUCUGUAAAUAGUACCAUCGGUCCGGGACUUGGUAUUAUUUUAGUCCGGAAAAAUUACUAUGCUUAGUUAAUAUUUUAUUUACUAUUUUUGGAGCAUGUUUGCAUGAUUUAGGUGGGUAGAAAAUAUUUAAUGAAUAUUUUUGGAGAGUUUAUGUAUUAAAUGCAUAAUAUUUCUAGUGUGGUAUAUUAAGAAAUAAAUGAGGAAUUAUUUUAGUGGAGUUAAUUUAAUUAAUUGGUGGAGUUAAAUAAGAAGUAGAAGAGAAUUAUUUGAGGAAUAUUUAGAGCCAUUGGAUGAGAUUACUUAGGACUUGAUCUUAGCCACACAUUUGCAUGAUUUUAGGAAGUCAAAUUUGACUUUGGCACUUAAAGUAAACACCACAACACUUAUUUCUUUCUUCUCUUCUCCUUAUCCACGCCAUCUCCAUCUUCUUCCUCUUUCUUUCAUUUCUUCAUUUUUUUACCUCCAAAUUUACCACCAAACUACCUAAUUAAACCAUAGAAUAGGACUUAAUGCUUAAGAAUUAAGGAGUAGAAGUUGAGAUUUGUGAUUAAAAGCAAAGAGAAGUGAAGUUACCAUUGAAGCAAGUAAGUUGUGGUUUUUGAGUUUUGUGAAUUGUUAAGUAGAAUUCAUGGUUUAGACAUGUUAUUGAUGCAUUAAAUCAUGCUCCAACUAUUUCUUUUGUCAAGUUUUGCUUGUAAUGUUGAUUUUUCAUGCUUUGAAGAGGUUGGAGAACCAUCCUCAAAGGG